CAGAUCUGAAAGCAACUUUUCAAAAUGGCAAGUGAGGUGGUUUAUGCAGAGGUAUCGCCCAAGGAAAGAGUGCAUUUUACUUCACAAACUUCAGAUACAGGUGAUCCAGUCACAUACAGUGAGGUGAAUGUGAAAUGGCGAUCUGACAGACCUGACAGCACACCCAAGACUACACAUACAGGUGCUAGAUCUAUAGCACACAGGGUAGCACAUUCCUGCUGAAGGCCUAGCUACAAUGAUUUUGCAUACUCGAAAAACUAAGAACAAAACUUGACUUGCUUCUGCCUGUGGUGAGACCCCUCUCCCUUGUCCCCUUGGCAGCGACCUGCUUGGCGAACUCGCACUGGUGUUACGUCGUUGUCGCCCUGUACUUCACUGCAGUGAUUCUGCUCAUCACUGUCAUCCUCCUGGCAGUGAAAUGUCACAACCUCUGAGGCAGACUCUGCCGUCCCGCUAACGUAGAGGAUAACUCAGCAUGGGAAGGCUCUGCUUCUUCAACAAAACAAGACAUAAUGCUUCAUAAUGCUUGUUGACUUUUACAUUAUUCUCUCUGAAGACACCUUUAUGUAAGAAGACAUGCCAUCAGUCUGAUCACUCUUCAGUUAUGUCUUCCAGGAUCUCCAUUAAACCUCUAACCUCUACAUAUAUGGACAAAACAUAUUUUAUUACUUUUAUGUGGAAUUUGCUUAAUCCUGUAAUACCAGCAACAACCCAAUUAUAUCAGUGCAUGUACCAAGGCAUGGGCUCAAGCUGCUGCAUCAGAAGUUGGAUUUGGGUCUUGUCUAGAUAACACAAAUGACCAAGUGGACCAGUUUGAGACAUCACUUCUAAUUCACACCUGACUUGAUUUUGCAAUAUAGAUAAGCUUUUAGAUCCUGUAUGUGCAAGUGCAAAUUCAUGGAUAAAAGAGGGAAUGUGAAAGUUUGCACUGAAUUUUUUUAUGAAGCCCAGGUUUGGAUGUGAUUUUUCUUCUCCUGACAGCCUUUAGUGGGAUUUGUAUGAAAGGGGUAUUGAAGGUGCAAGAAACUACAUUUGUUUAGUUAGAGAAGUCUCAGUCUCAUUCCUCCAUUGGCUUGAAUAAAAUUAUUCUGUUCUACUUGUCCAGAACAGCAUC